UGGAGUGCCACAUCACAGAGCAAAUUAGAUAUUGCAUCUGUAAUAUUUUUCCUUCCAAUACAAAAUGAAGUUGUGUUUUUUUUAUUUUUUAAAAACCUUUCCUUGAACUUGUGGCCUAUGUCAGUGUCCUGUACAUGUUUUCCUGUGUUGAUGUUGCCAUAGUGCAUAUGUGUUUUGGUCAUUGUUUUUUUUUUUUUUUUUUUCUGGUCCUUAUGUUUGUUUUAAUUAAAAACCAAGCAUUUCUAAAAGAAUAAAUGUUUAUAAGCAUAAUGGGUGGAUGUAUACACAAUAGCAUGAUUUUUUAAUAUCAUUCAUUUUAUACAGUGUCUGAAAAAAGCAGUACUCCUCGUCGGCCAGUAACUCCUAUCACAUCUGAUGAUGAUGACGCUGCGGAAGCAGGUCCAUCAAAAGAAGUAUGGAGCAGCAGAAGUGGCACUUCUGUAAGUCAUCACCACAAAAAAACUGUGCCCGAAAAGAAAGCAAGGUGGUAUGUCCCGGCACAAACACAGCAGGCUACCCCGCCACGUAGAUUAUCGUCCGUAUGUUCUGUACCCCCACUCCAAAUUUUGGACACACCUCACAUCUUGAUUCUUCGAGUCCUGGGAACAGCAUCCCUCCGCAACAACACCAACACAGUGACAUGGAGGAGACAAACAUCUUAGAAAUGCAGCCAUUAAUGCAAGGAAUGAGCCCCCCAGCACCUGUGAGUACACCACCACAGCAAAGCACACCACCACCACAACACAGCCCAACAACACCAGGAACACAAGGCCCUGAUCAGGUGUUUUGGACUAUUUGGGCUAGACAGCAGGCCACUAAUGAAGAUUGCCUGCGUAAGCAGACACAAAUGUUUGCAAGCCUACCAUCUCACCUCAGAAGAAUAUCAAGAAAUCUGAGUAGACAAAAUGAGCAAACAACCAGAAUAGGCAAUACCAUGGAACUCAUGCGAACAGACAUUACACAGGUCAUGGGCAACUUACAGCGCAUAAUGGAAGAACAGCACAGACAACAGAAAAGUUAUACAGAUGUGUCCACAUACAUCUUUGCUAUAUCCCACCAGGUAUGGCACAGUUUGGCAUGCUAUAGACUCAAAUAUUUAUCCAUGCCUUGUGAUUUUUCUUAAUUUGCUUCUUUAAUAUAUUACCUUAUACAUAUGCUAUUAUGGCAAACAAAAAUUGUAAAAUUCAUUUACUCGCUACUCGUGAAAAACAGCUUAGCCGUGUUUUGCAUGUUGCGCCAAAUUUGUAAAAAAGCAAAGAUGUAAGUAGACACAUCUGUAUGAGCAUUUUUCAAAACAAUCAAAAGAUUAAUGAAAGUUUAUUCCAAAUAGUAGACAAUCAAAAUGCUGCUACACGUGAACUCAAUGCCACCCUCACUAACCUGAAUGAAACACUCAGAUGCAUGCACCAACAGCAAACAAGCAGCAGUUCUGGUACGACUACUCCAAAUAUCACGCCAGUCUCAUUACCACCAAGACGGUCCACCAGAGCACGACAACAUGACAGUGCUAAAGGCAAAGGGCAGAACAAGCAGCCACCCAAAAAAACGUGAAAAAAAAACAAGUUAGACAUUUGUGAUAAGUAACUCAAAAUAGUUAGCAAGUGUUUUUGUUGCUUAAAAUAUAUAACACUUAGCUCCUUGACCCUUUUUUCAACAUCAUUAAUUAUAAGUGGGCCAAAAAAACCCAUAAAUUUAGUACGCACAUUUAUUCAUUAUCAUUUUUUUUUUGUAUUGGAGGAGGGAAAUGUUGAUGGAGCCACACAUACAUGUUAGCAGGAAGUAAACUGACCACUUGAUUUUUUUCUAAUCAUUACUCUUUCUAGAUUACAAUCAUUCUCUUUGCCUGCAGAUACAAUAAUUGCCAGCCAGGCAGAAUGUCUUUAGCAGGAAGUAAACUGACCACUUGAUUUUAUUCUAAUCAUUACUCUUUCUAGAUUACAAUCAUUCUGUUUGCCUGCAGAUACAAUAAUUGCCAGCCAGGCAGAAUGUCUUUAGCAGGAAGUAAACUGACCACUUGUUUUUUUUUCUAAUCAUUACUCUUUCUAGAUUCCAAUCAUUCUCUUUGCCUGCAGAUACAAUAAUUGCCAGCCAGGCAGAAUGUCUUUAGCAGGAAGAAAACUGACCACUUGAUUUUUUUCUAAUCAUUACUCUUUCUAGAUUACAAUCAUUCUCUUUGCCUGCAGAUACAAUAAUUGCCAGCCAGGCAGAAUGUCUUUAGCAGGAAGUAAACUGACCACUUGAUUUUUUUCUAAUCAUUACUCUUUCUAGAUUACAAUCAUUCUCUUUGCCUGCAGACAAUCCAAAUUACAAUGUUAGUGAUACAUAUCUUAGCUAUCUUAUCUAUACAACAUUACAAGAAGAACACAAUUGAGUUGCGUAAAAAGCUUGUAAUAUGUUGCCUUUGUUUUGUUUGUAAAACAUUGUCCAAAUGAAUGUCAGUAUUGUUGGGACAUGUUUGUGUGUGUUAAAAAUUAUUAAGCAUGUUUUUACACAUGAUGCUGAAACAAACAAAUAUGUACUUUUACAACAAAAAACCAAAACUGUGUAUAAUAAUGUAUAUGUGUGGCAAACUGUGUAUUUACUUACACAUCAUCAAGUUUACAGCAUCAAACAUUAGGAAAUAAAUUUGUCCUGAUUACAGUAAGUUUGUGAGUCUUAAAUAUGAUGGUGCAUCACACAUAGGGACACAUGUAUUCCUCAAGGCUAACAUAUUAUAUGUUGAGGAGUGUUUUUUGGGAACACAGGUUCUCAAACUCGGCCC